rnacentral:lncRNA from 1 species
GGUUCCAGGAAAAUAAACGGGUUUGGGUAUGGGGAUGGCACAUCUGAACUCGAUCCGCCCCAUUGCCAUCCCUAAGCAGAAGCUACAGGUCCAAACACCUUAUGUUUCGCAAGCAAAUCGAGUUCGACUUGGAUUGCUUGUUUCCAAUUUUACCAAUCGGUUCUACAUCGACAUUCAUCAACAGAACAGAGUUCAAUGUCAUCGCUCAACAUGAUCUCAAUAGCUAUUGCAUAUGCUAAUGCAUCGUCGACAAUCAUCUCAUUUCUACACCACAUAUCAUCUAAGCUAGCAUAAUAGACCGAAAUCUCAUAAUUCUCGGAAGGUGGAUUCGUCUCUUCAAUGACGUUUUCAUAAUCUAGAAUUUCCUCAUGAGUUAGAUAGAAUGAGUAAGCGACAAUCGGAUUCACGGUAAGCUCUUUAGGUGCUUGUGCAAUGGGUUUUCUUUUUUAGGGGUGUGAAUCUUUUGAACCAAAAGGUCUGCCACGCUUAUGUGUAGAGGCAAAUGAUUGGCUAGCUGCUAAUGUACGUAGACCGCCAAAGUGGGCGGCCCAAGCCUCCAAGAAGGAAGUCCAUCGUAUAUUUGGUACAUCCAUCUUUGCAGGCACAUUCGCAACUGGAAUAUGUGAUCUUGUCACUCGCGCUAGAUCGAUGAAAGGAUAUGACAAUCCACGAAACGAGCGGUAAACAGAUCGUCUGUCAAAGGUUCUGAGUAAUGAAUAAUCGAAAUAGAAUCAUAUCCGACAUAGAUUCUCACCCUUAGCUAAGGCCCCAUUUUUGUACGUAAAGGUGGCAAAAUCAGGACAAAGACCACACAACCAGAAAUGCGCAGAUGCAAUUUGUCGGGUUCGUAUCUGGUAGCCAAUUGAAUGGCAUUAUAUGGUUGGGUCGCAACCGGCCUUAGGCAAACCAUUACCGAUCAGGAGCUUGGAACGUAUGACCAACAAUCGAGCAAUCAUUUGUAAGAGCUUAAUGAAUACCUCUGCUAGGCCAUUCUGGGUGUGAACAUAGGGUACAGGAUGUUCAACUUCAACCUCAACUGACAUGCAAUAGUCAUCAAAAGUUUUACAUGUGAAUUCUCUAGCAUUAUCUAAUCGAAUAAAUUUGAUCAGAUAAUCAGGGUGGUGAGCCCUAAGCUUGAUAACAUGAGCCCACAUAUUGGAGAAUGUAGCGUUCCUUAUGGACAACAAGCACAUGUGUGACCAACAUGUGGAAACGUCAACCAAAACCAUAAAAUAUCUAAAUGGUCCGCAUAGAAGGUGAAUCGGUCCACAAAUGGCCCCCUAAAUCCUUUGUAGAAAAAUAUAAGAAGGCUUAAUAAUAAACUUUCCCAUGGAACAUUUUUGACAUACGAUUCCUUGAAUCGAACCUAACUUCGGGUUAGUGGAUGCUCGUGUGCUAAUUUGAAGAUGCAGCGCAUAGUUGUUCGUCCAGGGUGUCCCAAACGAUUAUGCCAAAGUGUAAUUUUGUGCGCGAUCCCAGAGGUAGGGCUGGCUACAUAGUGGCUUUCAAUAGAGCAUAUGGUCGUAAUAUACAGACCACUCGGGAUACGCUUCAUCUUCUCUAGAAUAUGCUUUUAGCCAUAUUCAUAGGAAGUUAUGCACAGAAAUUCAACUCCAUUUUCUACAUAGGUUUCAACGUGGUAAUUAUUAUCUCUAGUGUCCUUAAAACUAACAACAUUCUUUCAGAACGUGGAGAAUAAAGUGUCCCAUCAAUGGUCAAAAUUAUAUCAUUAGACAACAUUAUACGUGCCUUAUUGUAUCAUUCGAUUAGGUUGGAUAGGCCUGAGAGGGUUGUCAGAGGUGCAUUUUUAGGUAUAAAGUUCGUGAAAUAGAUGUGUUCACACAAAACAGUGUGCAUGGUUGCACUAUUUGCCAAACAACUAGCUUCCCCACUAGUCUUACCUAGAAUGAAAAUUAAUUUGAAUCGGUCACAUGCAUAAAAGUUCUAAAAACAAAUAUCCAUUCAAAAUAAUUUUAAGUAUUCAAAGGAUAGUAAUUAAUUAAAAACUUAAUAUCCAUAAAACAAAUUACCAACAAAUAAUCCAAACAUAAAGGAAAAUUUGUUCAAAAUUAACCAAAAACACAAGGAGAGGUUCGGCCACUAGGUGGAAUUCGGCCCCAAUGUCUAAAUUUCAACUAGAAAAAUAGAAUGUCUAAGAUUCUAAUCUUCCAUACGGCUAACAGCCUCUUGAAAGUUAGAAACCUCCAUCUUGGUACUCUCCGGUUCAUCCAUUUGCAUAAAGUUUGAUUCAAACUUCUUACGACGAGAAUGAUAUUCAGCUACAACCUUCUGGGGAGCUUAACAAACAUGGAACCAAUGGUCCCUUGAACCACAGCGAUAGCACAUAUCCGCAUCCAUGGUUUCAAGUGUUUUGCCCUUAUUCUUCAAGUAUGGGGCCUUGGGAGCGAAGUUAGGGUAAUUAUGGGCUUUUGUUUUCUCCCUUAAAUGGGCCUUGUGUUACAAUCACCCCCAUAUUUCCCUUUUAUUUCUAUUUUCCCCUAGAACAUUUUUUUAAAUUUAUCAAUUUAAUCCCUUAUCUCUUUUAAUCUUAGCCGUUAAUCUAGAUUCCCUAUUACUCUUAAUCUGCCAAGUGGCAGAUUAUUAGCUUUCUUCUCCUUUCUUCUUUUCCCGAGUCCUUCCUCUCAGACAUCUAUCUCUCAUGGGAACCCUCAAGCACUCUAGAGCUCCGAGAGCUCUUGUUUCUUUCCUCUUCGAAAAAAAAAAUCAAACCCAACAAUUUAACCUCAUAUCUGGAAUCCUUGGAACUUGAGAAACACAACUAUAACUCUGCAUGCGUCGGUAAAACACCUCUGUAUGUUCUGCCAUUGAAGCCGAGAGCUUCAAAUCUCUGAAACUCGAACUCAGGCGAGGCUCACUACUCUAUUUCUAUUUUGUCGAGUUUUUCUCAGUUCAAAUGAAGGUUCUAAUCAGUGCAUGCCUUAUACUUUUGUUUUUCAAAACUCGACAAGAAAACCUGACAAGUUCCGAGAUCCAUCCCACCAUUCUCGACCAUAGUUGAGAUUCUCUGUGGUAUAUUUAUGUUCCCAUCAUUUCUGUUAUUCUUCCCUAUUCAAUUUGGUACUUAGAUUGACUGUUGUUUGAACUUUU